AAAUUGAAGAGUUUGAUCAUGGCUCAGAUUGAACGCUGGCGGCAGGCCUAACACAUGCAAGUCGAACGGUAACAGGAAGCAGCUUGCUGUUUCGCUGACGAGUGGCGGACGGGUGAGUAAUGUCUGGGAAACUGCCUGAUGGAGGGGGAUAACUACUGGAAACGGU
rnacentral:rRNA from 3 species